rnacentral:misc_RNA from 1 species
AUGCCGACAGUGUCCAUUCCCCACCUCUCUCGCCCCUUCCCCUGUCUCCCCUGUCUCCCCUGUCUCCCGUCAUCUCCUUGCGCUGGUGAUCUGCCACGCUGCUCAGCAGGAGGGACGGCAGAAGGCACGGCAGAGAAAAAGAAGGAGAGAGGUCUUGUACUGACACACGCACACACCCCUCAGCGUAUUCGAUCGACAUUAUGGAGCCGAAUGCCGAUGAGCCAAAGAAGUCAUCGGUGCGGCAGCUGCUGCGCCAGCAGCGCGAGCUGCAGGAGAUGCGCAAGUUUGGCUUAGCACCGCUCGCCGUGGACACGGAGACGCACCAGGAGAUCAGCCCCAACAUUCCGGAGUUUAUCUCGCGUGCCCCGUGGUACUACGGGGCAACUGGCCCCACGCUCGUCCACCAGCGAAAGCAGGGCGACAGCGCCACUGGGGUGUCGGACGAGGUGCUGGAUGAGAAAGUUGAUCGCAUUGUGGUCAAGGGCCAGGCAUCUUGCUUCACUGCUGGCGCGUGCAAGAACUGCGGCUCCCGCACGCACAAGACGAGCGAGUGCUUCCAGGCAAAGAAGAAGGUGGGUAGCGUCUACACGAAUCGCGUCACCGGGAGCGACAUCGAGACGCACCAGGAGGCCAAGACGUACUCGCAGAAGCGAGACCGAUUUGUGGGCGAGGUCGGCAUUGACCUGAUGCGUGCAGUGCGCCAGGGCCAAGAAGACGACAGCGUCGAUGUCGCGGCACCGGCAACGGCGCGCCACCGGCCCGAGGACGUCUUUGGCAGCCGCACCGCGCAGCACGGCGGAGUGGAAGUAAAGGAACUGCCCAAGUACCUGCACAACCUGGAUCAGCAGGACGGCCUCUUCUUCGACCCGAAGACUGGCUCGAUGCGUGCGAACCCGAACGCGGGCGACUCGACCAAGGCCUUUCGAGGAGACCUGGAGCGCUACCGCACUGGUGACUACUACAAUUACGUGGAGUCGCAGUACCGCUUCUUGACGGGGCAGUCGAGGUCGUUUGUGGACUUCGAGUUUGAUGAUGCGAUGCGCAGGGCACGCGAGCAGCAGCAGGAGCCGCAACAGCAAGAGCAGGACAGCACUAGAGGACCAGUGACGAAGGUACUGACAGAAACGCCGCAGGAUGUGCUCUUGCGCUCCUUGUACGGCACGAGUCAGCCGAAAUUCGACUCGGAUGUGCCACCCUCAUCCACCACCGAGAGCAAGACAUCUGCUCCAUCCUCAUCUCCUGCCCCACCGAUCGACGCCCUCGUCACGACGGCAACUGCGACAGUAGCAGCGCACUCCAGUGUCCAGGCAGCCUCCCUCUCAUGGGUGACCACGAGCAACGGCCACGCCGCCGUGUAUGGAAGCUACUUUGAUCCCAUACACUUUCGCUGGGGCUACGCGUGCUGCAAGAGAAUGGGCAAGGACGCAGCUGGCUGCAGCGCGACGCACGCGUGACAUGGGCUGCGGAGCAUCCUGCUCUGCUUGUGCGUGCCCUCCUCGCACAGGCGUGCGCUUCCCUGUCUUGUCCUUCACACGCACACGUCUCGCGCCGACUGCGCAAAGCAUGACAUCCGCGGCUGGGGCGAAGAGGGGGCGCACGGAAGGCGUGGCGCCUUCCGUGCGCCUGUAUAUUUGUGUCUGCGUGCAUGCGUGCGUGUACGCAUCCGUGCCGCCCUCCUCCCCAUGUUUUCUCUCGUUCUCCACGUCUCCGCCUGCCUCGUUGCGCAUUUCUCUGUCUGUCACUCGCCUUGUUUCUCUCUCUCUCUGCGCAG